AGAGUUUGAUCCUGGCUCAGGAUGAACGCUGGCGGCGUGCCUAAUACAUGCAAGUCGAGCGAACCACUUCGGUGGUGAGCGGCGAACGGGUGAGUAACACGUAGGUCAUCUGCCCAUCAGACGGGGACAACGAUUGGAAACGAUCGCUAAUACCGGAUAGGACGAAAGUUUAAAGGUGCUCUUGGCACCGCUGAUGGAUGAGCCUGCGGCGCAUUAGCUAGUUGGUAGGGUAAAGGCCUACCAAGGCGACGAUGUGUAGCCGACCUGAGAGGGUGAACGGCCACACUGGGACUGAGACACGGCCCAGACUCCUACGGGAGGCAGCAGUAGGGAAUCUUCGGCAAUGGGCGAAAGCCUGACCGAGCAACGCCGCGUGAAUGAUGAAGGCCUUCGGGUUGUAAAAUUCUGUUAUAAGGGAAGAACGACUUUAGUAGGAAAUGGCUAAAGUGUGACGGUACCUUAUGAGAAAGCCACGGCUAACUACGUGCCAGCAGCCGCGGUAAUACGUAGGUGGCAAGCGUUAUCCGGAAUUAUUGGGCGUAAAGAGCGCGCAGGUGGUUGAUUAAGUCUGAUGUGAAAGCCCACGGCUUAACCGUGGAGGGUCAUUGGAAACUGGUCGACUUGAGUGCAGAAGAGGGAAGUGGAAUUCCAUGUGUAGCGGUGAAAUGCGUAGAGAUAUGGAGGAACACCAGUGGCGAAGGCGGCUUCCUGGUCUGUAACUGACACUGAGGCGCGAAAGCGUGGGGAGCAAACAGGAUUAGAUACCCUGGUAGUCCACGCCGUAAACGAUGAGUGCUAAGUGUUGGGGGUCGAACCUCAGUGCUGAAGUUAACGCAUUAAGCACUCCGCCUGGGGAGUACGGUCGCAGACUGAAACUCAAAGGAAUUGACGGG
rnacentral:rRNA from 1 species